CAGAGAUUGUGGGACUAGUAAGUGUCACGUUUGAUCAUUAAAUUUAUGUAGUAGGGGAAAAAAGGGAAAACCAUUGUCUCUUUAUCCAUGGAAAGAAGCUGAGAAAAAAAUCAGAUCCGAAUAUCCAAAAAUUGCUAUUCAGGUACUUCCGGAAGGAAGCUUCGUGACGAUGGACUAUCGCACGGACCGGGUCAGGCUAUUUACCGACGGGGACGGGAAAGUAGUGCAGGUUCCAUCAAUUGGAUAGCUCGAGUCCAGACGACUCCACUGCGGGUCCAACAGCCUCGGUAUGAACCGCUGGGUCCCCACGGACCGACAUCCCAGUCUGACCAAUAUGUCUGGAUAAUGCUAGGAUACAGCAAAGUGACUUAGUGUUAACAUAAAUGACCGCCAUAUGAUUUUGGUAGGAUGUAACAAUUCUUUAUUCUAUCAUUUCACGUUCUUACUGUCCUUCCAUAUAUACUUCAUUUUAAUAAAUAAUAUAUACAACAUGACAAU